UGAGCAAUGUUCUCUUGAAAGCAAUCUUUCCAUAUCGAGAUUCUGUCCCCUCUGCCCACUCUCCAACACAUCCCUUUUUGUAGAAGAACCUUGGCAGCCCAGAUACUUUUCCAGGUAAAAGAAGGGAAAUAGAAUCAGAGAUAGCGCUUCACAUCAACCAAUUGAAAAAGUGGAGGUAUCCUUGACACUCCGAAGAGAAUCAAACAAAAAUAAAAGAAAAAAUCCC